rnacentral:tRNA from 1 species
UCCCUGGUGGCUCAGAGGUUAGAGUCUGCCUGCAAUGCAGGAGACCUGGGUUCGAUCCCUGGGUUGGGAA